UCGGGAAUUUUGGGCAAUGGGCGAAAGCCUGACCCAGCAACGCCGCGUGAAGGAUGAAGUAUUUCGGUAUGUAAACUUCGUAAGAAUAGGAAGAAUAAAUGACGGUACUAUUUGUAAGGUCCGGCUAACUACGUGCCAGCAGCCGCGGUAAUACGUAGGGACCAAGCGUUGUUCGGAUUUACUGGGCGUAAAGGGCGCGUAGGCGGUGUGUCAAGUCAGUUGUGAAAUCUCCGGGCUUAACUCGGAACGGUCAGAUGAUACUGCUUUGCUAGAGUGCAGAAGGGGCAAUCGGAAUUCUUGGUGUAGCGGUGAAAUGCGUAGAUAUCAAGAGGAACACCUGAGGUGAAGACGGGUUGCUGGGCUGACACUGACGCUGAGGCGCGAAAGCCAGGGGAGCAAACGGGGAUUAGAUACCCAUGUAGUCCCUGAGCGGGCUGGCAAGGCGCAU
rnacentral:rRNA from 1 species